CGGUGAGUAGGUGGGACGGUGAGUAGGUGGGACGGUGAGUAGGUGGCUGUUGAGUAGGUGGGACGGUGAGUAGGUGGGACGGUGAGUAGGUGGGACGGUGAGUAGGUGGGACGGUGAGUAGGUGGGACGGUGAGUAGGUGGCUGUUGAGUAGGUGGGACGGUGAGUAGGUGGCUGUUGAGUAGGUGGGACGGUGAGUAGGUGGGACGGUGAGUAGGUGUCUGUUGAGUAGGUGGGACGGUGAGUAGGUGGGACGGUGAGUAGGUGUCUGUUGAGUAGGUGGGACGGUGAGUAGGUGGCUGUUGAGUAGGUGGGACGGUGAGUAGGUGGGACGGUGAGUAGGUGUCUGUUGAGUAGGUGGGACGGUGAGUAGGUGGGACGGUGAGUAGGUGUCUGUUGAGUAGGUGGGACGGUGAGUAGGUGGGACGGUGAGUAGGUGUCUGUUGUGUAGGUGGGACGGUGAGUAGGUGGGACGGUGAGUAGGUGUCUGUUGAGUAGAUGGGACGGUGAGUAGGUGGGACGGUGAGUAGGUGUCUGUUGAGUUGGUGGGACGGUGAGUAGGUGUCUGUUGAGUAGGUGGGACGGUGAGUAGGUGGCUGUUGAGUAGGUGGGACGGUGAGUAGGUGGGACGGUGAGUAGGUGUCUGUUUAGUAGGUGGGACGGUGAGUAGGUGGGACGGUGAGUAGGUGUCUGUUGAGUAGGUGGGACGGUGAGUAGGUGGGACGGUGAGUAGGUGUCUGUUGAGUAGGUGGGACGGUGAGUAGGUGGGACGGUGAGUAGGUGUCUGUUGAGUAGGUGGGGCGGUGAGUAGGUGGGACGGUGAGUAGGUGUCUGUUGAGUAGGUGGGACGGUGAGUAGGUGGGACGGUGAGUAGGUGGGACGGUGAGUAGGUGGCUGUUGAGUAGGUGGGACGGUGAGUAGGUGGGACGGUGAGUAGGUGGGACGGUGAGUAGGUGGCUGUUGAGUAGGUGGGACUUCUGAUAAUAUGUUUGCUCUAACUGCUUUUUUAAAAACAGAAAUGAAAUCUGACAACUGGAGGUUGGCAUCUUUUAAUAAGGCAUACUCCAAUUACGGUUUUCAAUGAUUACCAAGAUUCUUAGUGACCUUUUUAUGAAUUACAAUGAUUUUACUUUUAGAGGUUAACCUCUCUAGGGUAGGUGGCACCAAACCAUCCCACCUACGUAACAGCCAGUGUAAUCCCGUGGCGCAUUAUUCAAAAACCUCAAAAAUGCAAAAACUUCCAUUUUUCAAACAUAUGACUAUUUUACACCAUUUUAAAGACAAGACUCUCGUUAAUCU
rnacentral:lncRNA from 1 species